UGGGUUGCUAAGACACAGGCUUAGGCCUAGU
rnacentral:piRNA from 1 species